rnacentral:tRNA from 1 species
GGGGUUGUAGCUGAGUGGUAAAGUACUUGCCUAGUAUGUUUGAUGUCCUGGGUUCAAUCUCUAGUACCCCA